rnacentral:lncRNA from 1 species
AUGCAGGAACUUCACCAGUCACGGACUUUCCUCGUCGUGUUUACAGCCGAAGCUCAGCAGCACACACCGGAGUUCAGGUACACAAAGGGAGGAGAGACUGACCCUGAUGAUGACCAUAUUGAACUGGAUGAGAGCAGCAGCAACAGGAACCUCCCAGUUCAACCUACUUUUGCUGUACCUAAAGGUUCCUAAGACAUUUCUCAAACAAGAGCUGCCGGCCCUGCACAACAGAUCCUGAAGACCUUCCCUCGCACUCAGCAUGGUCAGCGUAUUCAGCUUAUACAUUCUCACUGUGAAAUUGAGAACAGUAACAACAAUAUCCUAGAUUCUUAUUAAGAAUAUAGAAUGUUGUUGUUAUUGUUCUCAAUUGCACUGUGAGAAUUUGAGUGGUGCUUAUUCACGUAAGACUGAUUACUAUACAGAACACUGAGAUCUUUACUGUACAGAGCUAAGCACUAACUAUUGAAUGAGAGUAUAUGAUAUUGUUGUUCACUGUGAGAAUUUAUGGUGCUGCUUAUUAGGGUUGCAAAAUUCCUUGAAUGUUCAAAAUUGGAAACCUUCCAUGUGAAUCAAAGGGAAUAUAUGGGAAUUUAUAGGAAUUAACAUGAAUAAUGGGAAAUUUGCAAAAUUGCUGGUUAGCCUUUAACAAGGAAUUUAAAUGUAGUUAAAAAAUAUCCUGCUUAUAUCUUAGUUAAAACAACAAGAUUUAAUACAAAUUCAGUUGAAUGCACAGAGCAGGGAAAUAAUUCAACUGAAUUUGUAUUAAUUCAACUGAUUUAAUACAAAUUCAGUUUAAUUCAACUGAUUUAAUACAAAUUCAAUUCAACUGAAUUUGUAUUAAAUCAGUUGAACUAAUUCAAAUUCAGUUGAAUUGCUACCCUGCUCUGUGCAUUCCUCAAUCACAAGCACAACUAAUUUCUAGUAUCCUGCACACUACAGCAGGACUAUUGAAGCCACAUUACUGCAUGCAAGUUUAACAAGCAAAUAAAAGUAAAUCAGAUAUGCUAAUGUAAGCUAGCUAACAUCAUUUCAUUGACAAUUUAAGAGCCUAGCUAUCAUGGUGCUAGCUAGCUCAACUGUGAUGUGUUUCUUCUGCCUUCAGCUGGCCUUUUUUCAUACAAGAAUGUAGGUUAUAGUUUGAUUUAGCAUACUGAUUGAGUGUUCAUCUAUUCAUCUAGCCUUUCUAUUCAUUUAUACAGCAUUUUUUUUCAUAUCUUUAUUGGGUUAUCUAGACACAAUGUAUGUUCAAUCAGUAAGGAUACAAAAAACAAAAACAGGAGGGGGUGAACAGUAGCCAAACCAACAAAAAGUAAAAAGGGGCAAUUAGAGGAGGGACCCACAAUGCUUGGGGAAAAAAACAAAAAUUAACUAUAACAGUUUGUGUAUGUUGUGCCUGGUGUUCGACCACCAUAUCAUCACACCAAGACUAUUACUGGUGUCUUUCAGAAUCCUGACUGGGAAAAAAAAGGAAAAAAGUUACAUCAGUUUAUCUUAAUUGGAACCAUCUAUCUUAAUCAUCAAAUGAUGGAAUGGAAUUGAGUAAGUAAAGAAUGGGAUUCCAAGUUUUAUCAAAUUUGAUCGGAGCACCCCCUAAUACUGUACUUGGUUUUUUCUAAGUGUAGAAAUUACGUUAGAUCCUUUAGCUAAGAGUUAGGGGUGGGAGGAUUCUUAUCCUUCCAAAGAAGUAAAAUACGUCGGCGGGCUACGUGAAUUCUUCAGGCACACCAAAGUUGGAGGUUAAAGGACUCCAAAGCUGUUUAGAGCUUUUGAAAGAGUAUUGUAGAAAGAGGACCAGAAUGAGCUUAAUCUCGGACAGGAAAAAAACAUGUGUGUAUGACUGGCUGAAGACAGAGAGCAUCUGUCACAUGUAUCACUUGUAUUAAAAAGUUUUUUUCAAGUUUAGCUUUGGAAAAAUGUAUUCUAUGUAGGACCUUGAACUGAAUUAAUGUCAGACUGGCACAAGAUGAGGUGGAGUUAACCCUGUCAAGGGCCCUUUGCCACCAUUCGCCUGACAAGGUUACCACCUAGCUCCUUUUCCCAUGAAUUCCUAGUUGCCAGUGGGGAUGACAAUGAUGACAAGAUUAAUUUCACCACAAUUGAAAUGAACCCACAGACCGCAGGGAGAGAAAGAAU